AUUGGGAAGUGAUGGCAUAUUCAUUGUUAAAAAUUCUAGAACCCGGAGGCAAAUGUAAAAGUGAAGCUCAGAAUGAGCCUAAAUCAUGCAGCAGCUCUUUGCAUUUGGUGCAGUUCUGCGUGUUUAGGCCUUCAGACUGUUCUCUUCUGCCAACAGCCUCUCUUGGAAGCAGGCGAGGAGCAGGGCACAUUGAGAGGAAAGGCCACACACCACCAUUGGUGCCUGAAGAGGGACAGAGCUAAAGAUGGGUGAGGAGAAGUUACAAGUCCCUGGGAGUCGAUAAAGAGUUCAAAUAAGGCUGAUACAUCUGAAGGCGGAGCACACCCAGGGGCAUAUCCAAUAUGGCUACCUCUCCCCAUGCAGUAUGGGAUUGGAUGCCUCUUUGCAGUAGCAGUUGUAUGCACCGUGAUAUUGCUGAUAAGUCAUGUGAUCAAGGUUGAGCCAUCUGGAGGUUGAGCUAUAAGACUCUGAAAAGCCUUAGUUACUGGGACCAUCCCUCCCCAGAAGUGAACAACUUGGAGCUGGGGAUCGAUGCAAAAGCAUUUCAAAUUGUUAUUUGGAAACCAGAAGCCACCUUCCAAGCAAGCUGAACCACUCCA